rnacentral:misc_RNA from 1 species
GGAGCAGCGAAGUGGUAAAGGA